rnacentral:rRNA from 1 species
AUGCAGCAUGUUAAUUUCUCAAGCUCUACAUGCGGUGCUUCAGGAAAGCUUGACGAGGACAAGAUGGUCAUGAACUGUGAGUCCCUGGAGACAAGUGAUGCAGCUAGUUCGAAGUCCCAGUGCAGGCAACCAUCUGAGUUAUCAUGUCGUCGAGUACCAACAGGGUCUACCCUAGCUUCCAAAAUUAGCAAGAGUGUUGACAUUGAAUACAGUGUGGCCACGGCUUGUCCUGCCCCGGUUAGCCAGCUGGUGGAAUCUUCUUCAAGCCAAUCUGAUGAAGUCUUCAGACAGCAAAAUCAAGCCAUCUGA